GAAAUGCGAUAAGUAAUGUGAAUUGCAGAAUUCAGUGAAUCAUCGAAUCUUUGAACGCACAUUGCGCCCCCUGGCAUUCCGGGGGGCAUGCCUGUUCGAGCGUCAUUACACCACUCAAGCCUGGCUUGGUAUUGAGCGCCGCGGCCUACCCGCGCGCUCCAAUGUCUCCGGCUGAGCCGUCCGUCUCUAAGCGUUGUGAAUAGCGAUCGCUUGCGAGGCCCGGGCGGUUCGACGCCGUUAAACCCCCCAUUUUCUAUGGUUGACCUCGGAUCAGGUAGGGAUACCCGCUGAAUUUAAGC
rnacentral:misc_RNA from 1 species